GCUCGCAGGCGGUUUCUUAAGUCUGAUGUGAAAGCCCCCGGCUCAACCGGGGAGGGUCAUUGGAAACUGGGAAACUUGAGUGCAGAAGAGGAGAGUGGAAUUCCACGUGUAGCGGUGAAAUGCGUAGAGAUGUGGAGGAACACCAGUGGCGAAGGCGACUCUCUGGUCUGUAACUGACGCUGAGGAGCGAAAGCGUGGGGAGCGAACAGGAUUAGAUACCCUGGUAGUCCACGCCGUAAACGAUGAGUGCUAAGUGUUAGGGGGUUUCCGCCCCUUAGUGCUGCAGCUAACGCAUUAAGCACUCCGCCUGGGGAGUACGGUCGCAAGACUGAAACUCAAAGGAAUUGACGGGGGCCCGCACAAGCGGUGGAGCAUGUGGUUUAAUUCGAAGCAACGCGAAGAACCUUACCAGGUCUUGACAUCCUCUGACAACCCUAGAGAUAGGGCUUUCCCUUCGGGGACAGAGUGACAGGUGGUGCAUGGUUGUCGUCAGCUCGUGUCGUGAGAUGUUGGGUUAAGUCCCGCAACGAGCGCAACCCUUGAUCUUAGUUGCCAGCAUUCAGUUGGGCACUCUAAGGUGACUGCCGGUGACAAACCGGAGGAAGGUGGGGAUGACGUCAAAUCAUCAUGCCCCUUAUGACCUGGGCUACACACGUGCUACAAUGGACAGAACAAAGGGCUGCAAGACCGCAAGGUUUAGCCAAUCCCAUAAAUCUGUUCUCAGUUCGGAUCGCAGUCUGCAACUCGACUGCGUGAAGCUGGAAUCGCUAGUAAUCGCGGAUCACAUGCCGGGGGGAAAAACCUUUCCCGGGGCCUUGUACACACCGCCCGUCA
rnacentral:rRNA from 1 species